GAUGAACGCUGGCGGCGUGCCUAAUACAUGCAAGUCGAGCGAACGGACGAGGAGCUUGCUUCUCUGAUGUUAGCGGCGGACGGGUGAGUAACACGUGGAUAACCUAUCUAUAAGACUGGGAUAACUUCGGGAAACCGGAGCUAAUACCGGAUAAUAUUUUGAACCGCAUGGUUCAAAAAUGAAAGACGGUCUUGCUGUCACUUAUAGAUGGAUCCGCGCUGCAUUAGCUAGUUGGUAAGGUAACGGCUUACCAAGGCAACGAUGCAUAGCCGACCUGAGAGGGUGAUCGGCCACACUGGAACUGAGACACGGUCCAGACUCCUACGGGAGGCAGCAGUAGGGAAUCUUCCGCAAUGGGCGAAAGCCUGACGGAGCAACGCCGCGUGAGUGAUGAAGGUCUUCGGAUCGUAAAACUCUGUUAUUAGGGAAGAACAUAUGUGUAAGUAACUGUGCACAUCUUGACGGUACCUAAUCAGAAAGCCACGGCUAACUACGUG
rnacentral:rRNA from 1 species